rnacentral:lncRNA from 1 species
AUAUAUACACCUCGCCAAAAGCUAAGCAACACCUAAAUGUUUUUGCUUCUAAUUUUUGUUUUACAAUUAAAUUUGAUACUGCUUUGUUUCCAAAUAUUUUGUUAAUCUAUUGUUAAUCGACUGGUAAAAAUUCAGGUCUGAGUUUUAUUGCUAGGUACAUUAAAAAACGGGUUUUCGAAAGCUACAUACACGUUUUUUCUUUCCCAGGUAAUUGCAAUGAAAUGUAACUUUUAACCGCCGACUAAAUUGUGCCAAUUUACGUGCCUGUAGACCAGUAAAAAGACCAUUGCUGACUCAUAGGCAUCGUCAGGCUCGACAUCAGUGGUCACGUGAUCACCGCAAUAGGACUAUGAGACAAUGGCGUCAAGUCCAUUGGUCUGACGAGUGCAGAUUCCUCCUACAUCAUAUUGAUGGGCACAUGCGCGUAUGGCGCCCUCGGGAUACAGCAUACAAGAAACAUCACAUCCAUGUUACUACAGCGUUUGGUUGUGUGGAUUUGACAGUUUGGGGAUGUUUUGUAUUCGACUGAAAAAUUGACCUUUAUGGUCUGGACCGGAUAUAACGGGUUAAAAAUAUCGCGUUAAAAUCAUCCGAGAUAUCGUUGUGCCACAUUUUGACAAUAAUAAUCUAGGAACUAGACCGAUAUUCAUGGACGAUAAUGCUAGACCACACAGAGAACGCAUUGUAUCCGAAAAAUUACGCCAGGAGGCAGUUGGCACGAUUCCUUGGCCACCCAUACCACCGGAUAUGGUUUCCAUUUAGCAUGUUUGAGAUGAUAUUGCUCGAAAAGUCAACAACAGGGUUCCAGUCAGUAAGAAUUUACAUGAAAUACGAACAGCCUUGAUGAAUGGCAAAAAAUUUCUGUAAGAACAUUACGACACUUAGUUCAAAGCACGAGACGACGUGUGGCUGAAUUUUUCCGGAAGCGUGGAGGAUACAAUCGCUACUGACCUAAAUUGUACUUUAAUUUAUUCACAAAUUGUCACUCUCGAGUUUUGAAAAGAAUAGUGUGUGUAUAGUGCAGAGCAAACUUUAUAAAAACUUCAGUUUAUAAAGUUGAAACUUUAUCUUGUAUUUUAUUUUGCCAUUUUUCAAACAUUUGCCAAAAAUGAAACAGUCAAAAGUUCAAUCAUGAAAACAGUCC